AACGCCGGCGGUGUGCCUAAUACAUGCAAGUCGAGCGCACUGGCCCAACAGAAAUGACGUGCUUGCACUGAUUUGACGUUGGAUUCCCAGUGAGCGGCGGACGGGUGAGUAACACGUGGGCAACCUGCCCCAAAGCGGGGGAUAACAUUUGGAAACAGGUGCUAAUACCGCAUAACUUGGAAAACCACAUGGUUUUCCAAUAAAAGAUGGUUUCGGCUAUCACUUUGGGAUGGGCCCGCGGUGCAUUAGCUAGUUGGUAAGGUAACGGCUUACCAAGGCGAUGAUGCAUAGCCGAGUUGAGAGACUGAUCGGCCACAAUGGAACUGAGACACGGUCCAUACUCCUACGGGAGGCAGCAGUAGGGAAUCUUCCACAAUGGGCGCAAGCCUGAUGGAGCAACACCGCGUGAGUGAAGAAGGGUUUCGGCUCGUAAAACUCUGUUGUUGGAGAAGAACGUGCGUAAGAGUAACUGUUUACGCAGUGACGGUAUCCAACCAGAAAGUCACGGCUAACUACGUGCCA
rnacentral:rRNA from 2 species